CUGGAAUGGAAGCAGAGGCUUACAGUAGAAACUUAAGUGUGCUGAAGGUACAUGAGGCUUUGGAGAACAUAAGGGCUUUGUGUUUUUUAUGUUCUCCAUCCCCACUCUUUUUUGGGUGGGUGGGAAAGGGUUUUUUGAAAGGCACUGCUGGUGUUCUUUGUUUCUCACUUUAAAAGUGAGGGCUGGAUUUAUUAUAGCAAUAAUACCGUGGAAAGACAAGCUGGGAGACAAAGCAGAAAGGGUAAGGAGAUGUGCACAGCCAUUGACUUCCCCACAGGACACCUAGACAGCUCCUUUCCUUCCGAACCAAACUCCUUCCAGCAGAACUAUUGAUAGACACUUCUUUCCUCCACUGUCCUGCACGAAUCACAGAAUCAUAGACUGGACUGGGUUGAAAAGGACCACAGUGAUCAUGCAGUUCCAACCCCCUGCUAUGUGCAGAGUCGCCAACCAGCAGACCAGGCUGCCCAGAGCCACAUCCAGCCUGGCCUUGAAUGCCUCCAGGGAUGGGGCAUCCACAGCCUCCCUGGGCAAGGAGCUUUUUCUUUUUUGCUUUGCAAACCGAAGGGACAGCUUUCCAGUCCCUGAAUUAAAGACCAGGCCCUGUCCGGAAUAUUGUGCUCAUCUCGAGGGCGCCCAGUGUAAGAAGGGUAUGGACCUCUUGGACUGGGUCCAGAGAAGGGCCACGAAGAUGCUCAGAGGGCUGGAGCACCUCUCCUAUGAAGAUAGGGUUGAGAGUUGGGCUUGUUCAAGUUUGGCUCUGGGGAGACCUCACUGUAGCCUUACAGUACCUAAAGGGGCCCACAGGAAAGCUGAGGAGGGACCUUUUACAAUGGCAUGUAUGGAUAAGACAAUGGUUAAUGGCUUUAAGAUGGCAGCUUUAGAUUAGAUGCAAGGAAGCAACUCUUCACUAUAACUCUUCCCUGUAUAGCCUUUAACUUUAUAUAGACUACUGCCCAGAGAAGCCAUGGGUGCCCCAUCCCCGCAGGUGCUCAAGGUCAGGUUGGAUGGGGCUUUGGGCAGUCUGAUCUGGUGGGGGACAAACCUGCCCAUGGUGGGGGACUGGAACUGGGUGUGCUUUAAGGUCCCUUCCAACCCAAACCAUUCUGUGAUUCUAUGAUUGUGCUUCUUCUGUUCAAGAAUGGUUUCCUGCCUUUGUCUCCACAACCCUCUCUACCUACCAGUAAACAGCAGAAGGCUCUGACAGCUCUUUCACACAGACUUUGACAGUCUUGUUUCCUGGUUUGAAACAAGGCCAAAGGAUGAACAACUUUUUCUUUUGUAAGCACACGGCUUUAACAAUGCAUUCCAACGUGUGAUCAACAGUAACGUCUUGGUUUCCUGACUCUUCUGAUGUGAAAGAUGGGGCAACAUAAUCAACAGCAUGUGGAAGCUAUAUGUAUACAAUGUACCCUUACGCUUUUAGCACUUCUCAAGUGCAGUCCACAAAGAAAGCACAGACCUGCACUGUGAAUGGCACACGUACUCUUUGAAAGACAAAGCAAUUUGCCAAUGUAAAGAAAUAUAUGCAAACGCCUUCUGACAUGCAUCUACAGUGUGUGAAUAAAGGGACCAAAGCCAGGGCAGUUGUAUUUUAUAGUGCCACUAAUGUCAGCAAAGAUGGACUAGCAGCACGAGUAACUUCAACAGAAAUGAAGAGAGAGAGGUGGUGUGCACUCUUCAUCUAUGCUGCAGAAUUCAGAAGCAAAUAAAAUCCUAUCAGUCUUCUCAGGCUCGGAUAUACAGAGGCUUUACUUCUUGUAACGCUAUUUUAAGUGGGACCCAGGUGUUGUAAAUCAAUCUGCAAUGCUCAUUAAUGCUCCCCUUCAGUGUUCCAUGCAGUUCACAGGGGCACAGCACUCACCCUUUGCACAGAUGAUGCAGAUGGCACACAUGACCCUGGCACCUCAGCACACUUCAGGCAGUGGAUCUCUUUGUAACAGAC
ensembl:lncRNA